rnacentral:misc_RNA from 1 species
GAUGAAGAACGUAGCGAAAUGCGAUAAGUAAUGUGAAUUGCAGAAUUCAGUGAAUCAUCGAAUCUUUGAACGCACAUUGCGCCCGCCAGUAUUCUGGCGGGCAUGCCUGUUCGAGCGUCAUUACAACCCUCAGGCCCCCGGGCCUGGCGUUGGGGAUCGGCGGAAGCCCCCUGCGGGCACAACGCCGUCCCCCAAAUACAGUGGCGGUCCCGCCGCAGCUUCCAUUGCGUAGUAGCUAACACCUCGCAACUGGAGAGCGGCGCGGCCACGCCGUAAAACACCCAACUUCUGAAUGUUGACCUCGAAUCAGGUAGGAAUACCCGCUGAACUAAAGCAUAUCAAUAAGCGGAGGA